AAGUCGUAACAAGGUUUCCGUAGGUGAACCUGCGGAAGGAUCAUUAGUGAAUAUUAGCGCAUCUACUUGUAGAGCGUGACCUCCACUUUCUAACUCUGUGCAUUUAUUGGCGGAAGGACUUGAGCAAUCGAGUUUCCUUCUGCGGCUCAUUUUAAAACACUAGUUAAAGUAUGUAACGAAAUAUCGAAACAAAAAAAACUUUCAACAACGGAUCUCUUGGCUUGCUCAU
rnacentral:misc_RNA from 1 species